UCUACGGGAGGCAGCAGUGGGGAAUUUUGGACAAUGGGGGCAACCCUGAUCCAGCAAUGCCGCGUGUGUGAAGAAGGCCUUCGGGUUGUAAAGCACUUUUGUCCGGAAAGAAAACCUUCGCUCUAAUACAGUGCGGGGCUGACGGUACCUGAGGAAUAAGCACCGGCUAACUUCGUGCCAGCAGCCGCGGUAAUACGAAGGGUGCAAGCGUUAAUCGGAAUUACUGGGCGUAAAGCGUGCGCAGGCGGUUCGUUAAGACAGAUGUGAAAUCCCCGGGCUUAAUCUGGGAACUGCAUUUGUGACUGGCGAGCUAGAGUAUGGCAGAGGGGGGUAGAAUUCCACGUGUAGCAGUGAAAUGCGUAGAGAUGUGGAGGAAUACCGAUGGCGAAGGCAGCCCCCUGGGCCAAUACUGACGCUCAUGCACGAAAGCGUGGGGAGCAAACAGGAUUAGAUACCCUGGUAGUCCACGCCCUAAACGAUGUCAACUAGUUGUUGGGGAUUCAUUUCCUUAGUAACGUAGCUAACGCGUGAAGUUGACCGCCUGGGGAGUACGGUCGCAAGAUUAAAACUCAAAUGAAUUGACA
rnacentral:rRNA from 1 species